CCCCUUUUUCCUUCUCAAAACCAGUGUUGAAAACUACAGUCUAUACUGGUUUGAAUGAGAAGUGUCGGGCAUUGGCUCAUAUAUUUGAACACUUGCUCCCAGCCGAUGAUGCUGUUUGGAGAGGUUAUGAAGAGGAUGAUGCUGUUUGGAGAGGUGGAGCCUGGCCAGAGGAAGUAUAUGGCUGAGUUGAAGAUGUGACUUCUCAGCUCCUUCUGGCUGCUUGUUCUCGUGCCUCUUCCACCAUUAUGAACUACCUUCCUGGAACCACAGGCUAAAAAACCACUUUCUUCUUUUGGUCAAGGUAUUUUAUCACAGCAACAGUAAGUAAUGAAUAUAGAGUCUCUGGGCCAGAGUUGUCUAUCAGCCAGUUUUGCUUUUGCUGCUUUUAUGCUUUGAUCCGUUUUGUAUGAGAUAGCUGCUUCACUGCAUGGCCCAGGCUGGUUUCAAACUCACAAUACUCCCUGCCUAGCCUCCCCAGCACCACUGUGCUACCUACGUGCAGUCACCGCUGCGUCGGAACACACAAGGGAGGUCCAUCACUCAGGUGUGUCUACAGCUGUCUGACUCUACAGUGUCAUCCCUGCUGAUGGCAACAGAGCCUGGGUUCUGAACUGUCCUGCGCAAGGCUCACAUUUUGAACAUUAAUCAGUGACUACUCUAAAAGUUGUGAAAGGAAGUCCCUGGACACAAGCCGCCUUUGAAAGUUCUUCUUGUUCUGUCCUAGUUCUCUCCGCUUCUUGGUGCUUGUGGUGGUAGGAGUCUCUGCCAUGUGACCUACUGCCGUGGACUCUGCCCUGACCUCCCUCUUCCGAUGGACUGCAUCCUAUGAGGCUAUUAAUCUGAAUAAAUCCCUUUCCCUCACCUUGUUCUGCUAGGUGUUUCAGUCACAACUAUGAAAAGUAGCUGCUACAAUGAGAAGGCCUGAGCACUCACCAGCUCCUUAUAGAAAAAGUUGCUAACGUAUGUUUCUGAGCCUCAAACUCUGUUGCAGGACACUCUUGUCAGAGGAGCCUGUGGGACACUUUGUUAGAGGAACCUAACUUCAGCGGUAAGUUUUACAUUUUGAGUUCAUAUGAAAACAUGGUCAAAAUUCCCAACGCAUUGUUUUCAAUUUACUAGACUUGCAGAAUCCAGAUGACACAACUGUGCCCUAUUAUAAAACUCGGAGAUAAGAUGAAAAAAGUGAUUUUCUUGGUAAGACUCUGAGAUAAUGAUCAACAUUAAAAAUACAGGACUCAGAUCGGGAGCUGGCUUAGGAGAGACUACAAAAGCCGCUAGUGCAGAGGGCCACGAACAGCAAGGUCGCCCUGAAAGCCCGAUUCUUUCACUUCCAUCGUCUUUGGCACUGACUAUGCUCUAGAUCUGAGUGGGCCUCCAUUGUGCCAGAGAUCUCUGGGGCGUCUUCCAAAUGCAGACCAUUGGACUGAAAUUGGACAUGUGUCCAAUGAUACUUUGUACCUAGACCUACUAACUGGCUCUCAAAGCAGAGGCAAUCAUUUGUCUGUUGGCUUUGCCUUUUCUUGGGAACUCCAGAGUCUGAACUGAGAUCGCUCCAUCUCCCCAGCUAGGAGGCAGAGAAGAGCCUCACCAGCUUCCACAGAGAACAAAGGACAUGAAACCACACAAGAGAGCCAGAGCCCCAAGCAGCAAACUGAGAGUCUGUCAACCUUCUGUCUGCCCAAAGCCCAAAGGCAAGUGGGUCUUCUGUUGUUGGUUUAAAUGAACCAUGUACUUCAAGUCCAAUAGGCCUUCCUCUGUCUCAACACAACCACCAUGUUCCAUCCUAUGCACCUUGAAGUUGGAAUUUAAUCAAUUUGAUUCUCUCUGCCCUUGACUGGCUCAUUCACAAAAAUACUGC